rnacentral:rRNA from 1 species
UACGUAGGGUGCAAGCGUUAAUCGGAAUUACUGGGCGUAAAGCGUGCGCAGGCGGUUUUGUAAGUCAGAUGGUGAAAUCCCCGGGCUUAACCUGGGAACUGCGUUUGAAACUACAAGGCUAGAGUGUGGCAGAGGGGGGUGGAAUUCCUGGUGUAGCGGUGAAAUGCGCAGAUAUCAGGAGGAACACCGGUGGCGAAGGCGGCCUUCUGGACAGUGACUGACGCUGAGACGCGAAAGCGUGGGGAGCAAACAGGG